rnacentral:lncRNA from 1 species
GGCAUUUGACUUGCAUGUGUGGUCAGCCAUGUGGGCACCCAUGGUAAGCAGAUUGGACGAUCCUGAGUGUUAUAAGAUAAUCCAACAAUGAAAAUUGCAGUGUUCAAAUUCAACAGUGUGCAAAUAUGCAGAGAAAAUGAUUGUGAUCCAACAAUCCACAUUCAAGAUUCCAAUCGAAUGCCAUGCAUGUGUUCUAAGGCAAUCUAACGGUCCUACGCACAAAUGGUUCAGAUCUAAAAGAGAAUCGCGAUUUAGCGAUUGAGGGAACAAGAUGGCAAAAUUACAAUUUUGCCAAGGCCUAUCCAAUGGACUGUACGCGACCACACGUGCGAUGUUUGUGCAGUCUAGAUCUAUUUAGUGUUGGAUUUAAAAACUCAUCCAAACCACUCAACCUAGCCCAAUUUGGAAAGAAAUAAAUAAACAAAAAAAUAAGAAAAGAAGAAAG